rnacentral:misc_RNA from 1 species
GAUGAAGAACGCAGCGAAAUGCGAUAAGUAAUGUGAAUUGCAGAAUUCAGUGAAUCAUCGAGUCUUUGAACGCACAUUGCGCCCCCUGGUAUUCCGGGGCGCAUGCCUGUCCGAGCGUCAUUGCUGCCCUCAAGCACGGCUUGUGUGUUGGGCCCCCGUCCCCGGUUUCCCCCGGGGACGGGCCCGAAAGGCAGCGGCGGCACCGCGUCCGGUCCUCGAGCGUAUGGGGCUUUGUCACCCGCUCUGUAGGCCCGGCCGGCGCCAGCCGACACCCAACUUUAUUUCUAAGGUUGACCUCGGAUCAGGUAGGGAUACCCGCUGAACUUAAGCAUAUCAAUAAGCGGAGGA